rnacentral:rRNA from 1 species
AGUAACGGCGAGUGAAGAGGGAAGAGCUCAAAUUUGAAAGCUGGUACCUUCGGUAUCCGCGUUGUAACCUCGAGACACGUUUUCCGUGCGGCGCUAUGGACAAGUUCCUUGGAACAGGACAUCGUAGAGGGUGAAAAUCCCGUACUUGCCAUGGAUGUACCGUGCUUUGCGAUACGUGCUCUAAGAGUCGAGUUGUUUGGGAUUGCAGCUCAAAAUGGGUGGUAGACUCCAUCUAAAGCUAAAUAUCGGGGAGAGACCGAUAGCGAACAAGUACCGUGAGGGAAAGAUGAAAAGCACUUUGGAAAGAGAGUUAAAAGUACGUGAAAUUGUCGAAAGGGAAGCGCUUGAAGUCAGCCAUGCCGCUCAGGACUCAGCCUGGCUUUUGCUUGGUGUAUUUCCUGGGUAGCAAGUCAGCAUUGGUUUGGAUCGUCGGAGAAGCAUAGUCGGAAUGUGGCGCCCU